UGGGGAAUUUUGCACAAUGGGGGAAACCCUGAUGCAGCGACGCCGCGUGAUUUAGAAGGCCUUCGGGUUGUAGAAAUCUUUUCUAUGGGAAGAAAAUGACAGUACCAUAGGAAUAAGGACCGGCUAAUUACGUGCCAGCAGCCGCGGUAAUACGUAAGGUCCGAGCGUUGUCCGGAAUCAUUGGGCGUAAAGGGUACGUAGGCGGGUAAGCAAGUUAGAAGUGAAAUCCUAUAGCUCAACUAUAGUAAGCUUUUAAAACUGCUCAUCUUGAGGUAUGGAAGGGAAAGUGGAAUUCCUAGUGUAGAGGUGAAAUGCGCAGAUAUUAGGAGGAAUACCGGGGGCGAAGGCGACUUUCUGGCCAUAACCUGACGCUGAGGUACGAAAGCGUGGGUAGAAAACAGG
rnacentral:rRNA from 1 species